rnacentral:rRNA from 1 species
UACGGAGGGUGCAAGCGUUAAUCGGAAUUACUGGGCGUAAAGCGUGCGCAGGCGGUUUGUUAAGUCUGUUGUGAAAUCCCCGAGCUCAACUUGGGAAUUGCAAUGGAUACUGGCAAGCUAGAGUACGGCAGAGGGGGGUGGAAUUCCACGUGUAGCAGUGAAAUGCGUAGAGAUGUGGAGGAACACCGAUGGCGAAGGCAGACCCCUGGGCCGAUACUGACGCUCAGGCACGAAAGCGUGGGGAGCAAACAGG